AGCGAACGCUGGCGGCAGGCCUAACACAUGCAAGUCGAACGAACUCUUCGGAGUUAGUGGCGGACGGGUGAGUAACACGUGGGAACGUGCCUUUAGGUUCGGAAUAACUCAGGGAAACUUGUGCUAAUACCGAAUGUGCCCUUCGGGGGAAAGAUUUAUCGCCUUUAGAGCGGCCCGCGUCCGAUUAGCUAGUUGGUGAGGUAAAGGCUCACCAAGGCGACGAUCAGUAGCUGGUCUGAGAGGAUGAUCAGCCACAUUGGGACUGAGACACGGCCCAAACUCCUACGGGAGGCAGCAGUGGGGAAUCCUGCGCAAUGGGCGAAGGCCUGAAGCUGCCAUGCCGCGUGAAUGAUGAAGGUCUUAGGAUUGUAAAAUUCUUUAACCGGGGACGAUAAUGACGGUACCCGGAGAAGAAGCCCCGGCUAACUUCGUG
rnacentral:rRNA from 1 species